UCCUCCUUCAGCCGACCGUAGCAUCCUCCUCCUGACUGACACCUAAGCUGGGGGGGAGCGGACAUGUUAGACAGUAAUGAUCCCCUAACGUGAUCCUCACGUCCACAGGCGGCUCCUUCUUUGGGUUCGGUGACGUGCAACCUGAGUACAGCCAGCUCCUCCCACGUGCCACCCGAAAUCAUGAGCGACGCGCGGGGCGGCCAAUGCGCUCCUCCGCGCGGAGGACGGGAAGCAGUCGGAGAAGCUGAUUGGUGCGAGUUGAGAGAGCCUCCUUCUCACCUUUAACGACAAUGCAGACCUCGGGGAACAUCGACAUGUAGGUCGAGACGAAGGCGACUGUGUGACUAAAGAAACACACGUUCUUAAUCCCACAUGAACUUUCAGCCUGUUCCAUAUCGUGGAAACACUUUGAAGGGAGUUGAGACUUCAACUGAAUCCCCUGAAUUAUUUCUUGAAGGUGUUCCCGACCGAGCAGAUAUGUGUGUGUGUGUGUGUGUGUGUGUG